AGCAGCCGCGGUAAUUCCAGCUCCAAUAGCGUAUAUUAAAGUUGUUGCAGUUAAAAAGCUCGUAGUUGAAUUUCGGGAUCAAUAUAUUGGUCGUGCCUUCGGUAUGCACUGGUAUUAUUGAUUUCUACCUUCUGACGAACUAUGAUGUCAUUAAUUUGGUGUCAUGGGGAAUCAGGACUGUUACUUUGAAAAAAUUAGAGUGUUUAAAGCAGGCACACGCUUGAAUACAUUAGCAUGGAAUAAUGAAAUAGGACGUUUGACCCUAUUUUGUUGGUUUCUAGGAUCGACGUAAUGAUUAAUAGGGAUAGUUGGGGGCAUUAGUAUUCAAUUGUCAGAGGUGAAAUUCUUGGAUUUAUUGAAGACUAACUACUGCGAAAGCAUUUGCCAAGGAUGUUUUCAUUAAUCAAGAACGAAAGUUAGGGGAUCGAAGACGAUCAGAUACCGUCGUAGUCUUAACCAUAAACUAUGCCGACUAGGGAUCGGAUGAUGUUAAUUUUAAUGA
rnacentral:rRNA from 1 species